CCUGGUUGAUCCUGCCAGUAGUCAUAUGCUUGUCUCAAAGAUUAAGCCAUGCAUGUGUAAGUAUGAGCAAUUCAGACUGUGAAACUGCGAAUGGCUCAUUAAAUCAGUUAUAGUUUGUUUGAUGGUAACUACUACUUUCGGAUAACCGUAGUAAUUCUAGAGCUAUCGUGCAACAAACCCGACUUCUGGAAGGGAUGCAUUUAUUAGAUAAAAGGUCGGCCGCGGGCUCUGCCGUUGCUCUCGAUGAUUCAUGAUAACUUCGGCGGAUCGCAUGGCCUUAGUGCUGGCGGCGCAUCAUUCAAAUUUCUGCCCUAUCAACUUUCGAUGGUAGGAUAGUGGCCUACCAUGGUGGUAGCGGGUGGCGGAGAAUUAGGGUUCGAUUCGGAGGGGAGCCUGAAAGCGGCUACCACAUCCAAGGAAGGCAGCGGUAGCGCAAAUUACCCAAUCGACCGCGGGGAGGUAGUGACAAUAAAUAACAAUACCGGGCUCUUUGAGUCUGGUAAUUGGAAUAAUAAUUACAAUCUAAAUCCCUUAACGAGGAUCCAUUGGAGGGCAAGUCUGGUGCCAGCAGCAGCGGUAAUUCCAGCUCAAUAAGCGUAUAUUUAAGUUGUUGCAGUUAAAAAGCUUCGUAGUUGAACCUUGGGAUGGGUUAGCCGGUCCGCCCGGUGAGCACCGGUCGGCUUGUCUCUUCUGUCGGCGAUCGCUCCUGGCCUUAACUGGCGGGUGGUGCCUCGGCUGUUACUUUGAAGAAAUUAGAGUGCUCAAAAGCAAGCCUAAACUCUGUAUACAUUAGCAUGGGAUAACAUCAUAGGAUUUCGAUCCUAUUGUGUUGUAUGCCGGGGAUCGGAGUAAUGAUUAACGAGGGACAGUCGGGGGCAUUAAGUAUUUCAUAGUCAGAGGUGAAAUUCUUGGAUUUAUGAAAGGCGAACAACUGCGAAAGCAUUUGCCAAGGAUGUUUUCAUUAAUCAAAAGCGAAAGUUGGGGGCUCGAAGGCGAUCAGAUACCGUCCUAGUCUCAACCAUAAGCGAUGCCGACCAGGGAUCAGCGGAUGUUGCUUUUAGGACUCGCUGGCACCUUAUGAAAAUCAAAGUUUUUGGGUUCGGGGGAGUAUGGUGCAUGAGGCUGAAACUUAAAGGAAUUGAAGAAGGGCACCACCAGGGAGUGGAGCCUGCGGCUUAAUUUGACUCAACACGGGGAAACUUACCAGGUCGGACAUAGUAAGGAUUGACAGACUGAGAGCUCUUUCUUGAUUCUAUGGGUGGUGGUGCAUGGCGUUCUUAGUUGGUGGAAGCGAUUUGUCUGGUUAAUUCCGUUAACGAGCGAGACCUCA
rnacentral:rRNA from 1 species